UACGUAGGGGGCAAGCGUUGUCCGGAAUCAUUGGGCGUAAAGAGCGUGUAGGCGGUCCGGUAAGUCGGUUGUGAAAGCCCAGGGCUCAACCCUGGGAUGCCGACCGAUACUGUCGGACUAGAGUUCGGAAGAGGCGAGUGGAAUUCCCGGUGUAGCGGUGAAAUGCGCAGAUAUCGGGGGGAACACCUAUGGCGAAGGCAGCUCGCUGGGACGUUACUGACGCUGAGACGCGAAAGCGUGGGGAGCAAACAGG
rnacentral:rRNA from 1 species